GAUGAACGCUAGCUACAGGCUUAACACAUGCCAGUCGAGGGACCGGCGCACGGUUGAGUAACACGUAUCCAACCUGCCCUUUACUCGGGGAUAGCCUUUCGAAAGAAAGAUUAAUACCCGAUGUAAAGGAUGGGGUUGCGUUCCAUUAGGUUGUUGGUUAGGUAACGGCUAACCAAUGCUUCGAUGGUUAGGGGUUCUGAGAGGAAGGUCCGCCACGUUGAAACUGAGACACGGUCCAAACUCAUACGGGCGGCAGCAGUGAGGAAUAGUGGUCAAUGGGCGGUAGCCUGAACCAGCCGAGUAGCGUGAAGAAUGAAGGCUUAUGGGUCGUAAACUUCUUUUAUAUAAGAAUAUGUAUUAUAGGAAUAAGGAUCGGCUAACUCCGUGCCAGCAGCCGCGGUAAUAC
rnacentral:rRNA from 1 species